AAUUUUACGCUCAAUUUCGCACACUAUUUGUAUGGUCUUUUUGGACUGAAAUGUGAAAAUUGAAUAAUAAGUAUGCAAUUAUAAAUAUUUACCUACCUCUACGGUUGCCAAAUGACAUGGCUCAACGACUAAUAUUAAGCGCAGCGAAUGAAAGAUAAUCCACAACACUUGCAACCACACCAUGCCGCUGUCCUUUUUACUUAGCAACUCCAAAAAGAGGAAAUAUGAAGUGGCGACCAAGUGCAGCAGGCAGGAGACCAAUAUGAAGAGCACUGCCACGCCAUGGGAACUGUUGAAUAUUGAAGGGUUUUGAAGAUUUUAGGAGUAAAACUCACUUGGAUACUAAGCGCAUGCAUUUGCCCAAAGACUCGUGGGUUUCUUCAAGCAAUCUUAGUAAGGCGACUUUAUUCUUAGCUGUGUAUAUAAAGAAAAUAUGUAUGAAUUAAGUUUAAGCAAAAUAAUUAUAUAAUUUUUUAAUCUGUGUAUUUAAUGGAUUUUACUUUUUGGUUUGCUUAUGACAAAAUCAAAAAAAAAAAAUACUUCAUUUUGCA